UACGAAGGGGGCUAGCGUUGUUCGGAAUCACUGGGCGUAAAGAGCUCGUAGGCGGUUUGUUGCGUCGGCUGUGAAAUCCCGAGGCUCAACCUCGGGUCUGCAGUCGAUACGAGCAAACUAGAGUGCGGUAGGGGAGACUGGAAUUCCUGGUGUAGCGGUGAAAUGCGCAGAUAUCAGGAGGAACACCGGUGGCGAAGGCGGGUCUCUGGGCCGUAACUGACGCUGAGGAGCGAAAGCGUGGGGAGCGAACAGG
rnacentral:rRNA from 1 species